AAGAGUCAGAAACCAACUGUGCACUAAUGAUUGAGAAAGAGGGGUUUUACAGAUUCACUUCUAUGAGCGCAAAUUGCCUUUUUCAGGCAUAAUCGCUUUAUGACAAUAGAGAAUGAAUAUUGGUAAAAUAUGCCAUCUUUGAGCUUUCUCUGUUGUUGUUUUUGUUUGUUUGUAGGGAGAAGAUGCUUUUGAACAGGGUCUGCUAUAUAGCCCAAGCUGGCCUGAAAUUCUCAGUCCUCCUACCGCAGAAUCCUUAGUACUGUGAUUACAGGGCAGCUCACCAACAGACAAGAUACUAGUCUUUGAGAAGACCUUGACUCACAAGACCAUAUAGCUCUUGAGAUCAAGCCCAGUAACAUUAUCAAGAAUGUUAUCACACUCCAUACUCAUGGUCGAACAGCUGGAGUAUGACAGCACUGUGUCCAACAUUAAGAGUUUACCCUGCAUGCACAGUGUUAUCAACUGGCCCUCACUGUGACAGCUUGCCCUGAAGUACAUAAACCUAGGACAUGAUGAUCUACAGCAAGUGCUGACCUGCACACUAUGCUGUAAACUGCAGCAAGAAGUAUGGCUACAGCAGCAACCACCACCCAAAGAAAGAUGUCAAGUAAACAGGGAGCAGCCUGGCCUGCACAUGGCAUCAUGUACACACACACACACACACACACACACACACACAUAUUCUAAAUUGGAAGUUCUAUAAGUACCAUAGGCAUGAACAAUGGGCUUCUUUUUAAACAUUUAUCAGUGGGUGUUAAAAUGUGUGGCAGUCAGAGGCUGAGAGUACUGGCUGUCUCCUUUACUACAUGGGCUCUAUGGACAGAAUUUGGGCUUCAGAGCAAAUACUUUUAUCUCACUGGCCUCCAACAACAGAUUUAGGUUUCUGGGGAUGGGAGGGGGGAUUUAAAUUAUGCUUAUGAGUCUUUUGCCUACAUGUUUAUGUGCCAUAUGCACACCUCGUGCCAGUGGAGGCCAGAAGGUCAUUAGAUUCUCUAUGAGCCACCAAGUAGAUGCUUAAAUUCAGAUCUUCUACAAGAAUAAAGGAGUGUUCAUAAGAUUUCUUUAAACCCAAUGUGAAACAUUUUCAAAUUUAAAAUGACUAUAUCAUCAUUUUAGAGUAAAAAGCUAUUUUUCACUCUUUCCUAAAAAUCGUUUUGAACAACCGCCUAAAAACAACCAUGUAAGUAAUUAUUGAUAGACACAGACUCUAGAAAGCGAAUACAGGAUCAUCAGCAAUUAAAUAUACAUAAUAGAAAGGCUCUGAAUCUAAAUUCCUAGUCAAAGAUUUUUUUAAGAUUAUUUUUAUUUCUGUGUGUUAAUUUGAAUGUCUGCUACAUGUGAGGGAAUAUCCACCAAGGCCAGAGGAAGGUGUCAGAUCUUGGAACUAGAACUGCAGGCAGUUGUGAGUCAUGGGCAUGGGUGCUGGUUACAGGCAGCUGGUGGUCAUGGGCAUGGGUGCUGGUCUAUGAACUCUGGUGGUCAUGGGCAUGGGUGCUGGUUACAGGCAGCUGGUGGUCAUGGGCAUGGGUGCUGGUUACAGGCAGCUGGUGGGCAUGGGCAUGGGUGCUGGUCUAUGAACUCUGGUGGUCAUGGUCAUGGGUGCUGGUUACAGGCAGCUGGUGGUCAUGGGCAUGGGUGCUGGUCUAUGAACUCUGGUGUUUUGGAAGAGCAUCUAGUACUCUUAACCACUGAGCCACCUCUCCAACUCCUCACUUUUCUUUAAUCAUAUGUAUGUGUGUGAGAAUGUGCAUGUGAUGCAGAUGCCCUCAGAAGCCAAAAGAAUAAUGUUGGAUUCCCUGGAGCUGAAGAUUAUAGGUGAUUGGAACCUAUAUGAAAGUAUAGGUGAUUAUGAACCACUCAGUGUGGGUGCUAGGGACCAAACUCAGGUUCUCCAAAACACUACCAAGUGCUAUGUAUGCUAUUAACCAUCUCUAGCCCCUCUAUAUAAAAUUAUUAAAAUAAUAUAUAUUAGAUAUUAUGCCAAGAAGAUUCAUGCAUAAGUAACUAAAUUUUUAUGAGAUUACCAAUUUACUUUAGUCAGAGACACUCAAUAAAUAUAAAAUAUUAAUAAGUAUACUAUGAUUUGUAAAAUGCAGGCUCCCAUUACUACAGCAGAAGUUAUGAAGCUUACUAAAUCACAAAGGCUCUUUAGUAUGGUCUACUUUAGGGAGGGAUUGUUCACAAGAUCAAGGUCAAACUUUUCCAGACUCGCUCUCCCUAUGUAGCUCAAGCUGGCCUUCAGCUUUCCAAUCCAGCACUUGGGGGGCUGAGGCAGAUGGAUUUCUAUGAGUUCUGCCUCGUCUAUACAGCAAAUUCCAAGCCAGCUGGAGAUACAGGAUAAGACCCUAUUUCAACUUCUCCCCACAAGAGAACUUAAAUACCUGAAAAUUGCCUUUGUUACAUACUACAUAUGAUGGUUGUCUUUAGAAAAAAGCCGCAGUACAACUUACUUGUAAAAGGAGACCAUUUUUUUUUUUUAAACUGACACACCAACUACUACUUUCAGGCUUGAGUACUGGCAGUCUCCUGCUGAUGAGUACACAGUUUGUCAUUUAAGGAAAAUAACCAGCAAGACUUAUCAUCAAUAAAUAAAAUUUGAACUCUGAAGUCAAAAAAAAAAAAAGAUUUUGGGAAAACACAUUUAUCACUUGAGCUUUAAACCUCUUCAAUAUUUAAAAUUUUUCCAAUGAGACCUUGGUAGUGUUACUAAGUAUGUAUUUUUCAUAUCUUAUAUAGUUUUUCCUGAGCUCCAGCAUGGCCAACUGGACCAUAUGCUUAAUUGAUAUCUCAUACUUUACAUAACUGAACAGACACCAUCAUAUUCUUCUCCCUAAAACCUACCCCCAGGGCCCAGCCAUCUGCUAGCAUGCUAAAGGGAAUGGAGGAGUACUUACACCGUUCUCUUACACCACGUGCAAUCCAACAUACACUUCCCACUGUGUCUUCAACACACGUACCUGCUCUAACUCCUCAGUGUCAUACUCACCCCACUGGCUGACUCUGCCCUCCCUCCUUCAGUCUGUUUCCCACUGAGCAGUCUAAUUCUCUAAGAAGUAAGUCAAGCCCAGCACAACCGAGGCACACCUUUAAUCCCAGCACUCAGGAGGCAGAGACUUGCAGAUCUCUGUGAGUCUCUGGUCACGGAGGACUACACAGUGAGAUCCUGUCCUUAAAAAGGAAAAGUGAAUCAAAUACUCCCAUAAUAAACUCACCCCAUCAAACCUAAGAAAACUCCAGCUUUCUUCCUAUGAGUCACAAAUUGGCUCCUGGUUAUUUCUCUGAUUUACUUGUCUCCGAUAAAUCCACCGAUACAACUUUUAAACUGAUCUGGAUUUCUAGGCUGUGUUCACUCCUUUUGUGACUUUACUGACUUUCAUGGCUGAGUCCCAGGUGAACAUCCUGGAAUCACCAUUUUCAUAUGACUUCUCUGGGAAACAGGUUUGAAAUUGUAAAGAGUUCAGCAGAUCUUCACUGAAGAUUCUGUCCCUCUCUCUGUUCCCAUUUGCUUCCCACACCUCCUUUUGUCGCAUGUUUGUUGACUAAAUUUUAUUGUAAUACUGUUAUGUUAAAAUAAAUCUGGCCCCAGAAUGCCUCCAUACUUGCCAUAAAGAACUUUACCCUAAAAAAUAAAAUAAGAUUAAAAAAAUUUUUUUUUCUCAUUUCCUAACAGUUCCACAUGGUUUCCUUAGAUCUUCAAAAAAGCAGGCAACUAGCAAGUCCUCCAAAUCUGCAUGAAUGCUCCUUUCACAGAGGCUGCAGAGAUGACUGUGGCUAAGGGCACUACUGCUCUUCCAAAGGACCCAGGAUCUGUUCCCAGCACCCACAUUAGGCAGCUCACAACCACCUAUAACUCCUAGCUCCACAGAAUCUGGUGCCCUCUCUGGCCUCUGCAGCCACUGCACACUCUCAGAACACAUAAAAAUAUUUAGAUAUAAUAUAAAGAAGCUAUCUUCAGCUGGGCAGUGGUGGCGCACACCUUUGAUCCCAGCGCUUGGGAGGUAGAGGCAGAGGGAUUUCUGAGUUGGAGGCCAGCUUGGUCUACACAGAGAGUUCCAGGACAGCCAGGGCUAUACAGAGAAACCAUGUCUAGUCUGCCCCCACCCAAGAAAGAAAGAAAGAAAGAAAGAAAGAAAGAAAGAAAGAAAGAAAGAAAGAAAGAAAGAAAGAAAGAAAGAAAAGAAAGAUUGAUUUCCAAACCCCUGUAGCUGAAGAAGCCCCUUCUUCCAAAUCCUGGUUUUCUAGCUCCCAUCUUACUACUUCCUUAUCUAUUUGAAAUGAGGGGUUUUAGUUUUGGUGUUUGGUUAUGUGCGUGUGGGUGUGGGUGUGUGUGCGCGAGGUGUGUGUGUGCAUACUCAGCAUGUUCCCUUGUCCCCAUAACGAAAAUUUCCUAAGGAUAUAUAGUCUUUGUCUCAGUCAUUAUUAUCUCUGGGAGGCAAAAUAGAUACACAAUUAAGUUAAGUAUUAAUGUAUGGAAGAAUAUGACAAUUUUCCAUCUAGACAAGGAAAGCCCUCAUGGGUGAGUAAUAUCCAUCAAAAGAAACAAAUCAAAUUAGAGGAUACUACUAAGGAAUUAAAGUGAGUUUAAAAAGAAAACUAGGAAUACUGAAAGCCAAUGUGAUGGUCUGAAUGAGAAUGACUCCCAUAGGCCCAUGUACUUGAAUACUUGGUCCACAGUCGGUUAAACUGUUGGGGGAAGAUUAAGAGGUGGGACCUUGUUGGAGAAGGUAUAUCACUAAAAGCAGGCUUUGAGGUUUCAAAUGCCCCUCCCUCUCUCUCUCUCUCUCCCCCCCCCCUUGUGUGUGUGUGUGUGUAUGUGUGUGUGUGUGUGUGUGUGUGUGUGUGUGUGUGUGUGUGCGUGUGAGCAUUCGAGCGUGUGCCUCUUGCUUGUAAGUCAGGUUCAGGCUCUCACCUACAGCUCCAGCACCAUACGUGUCUGCCUACCAUGCUUCCUACAAUGAUAAAUACAAACUCACCCUCUGACACUGCAAGCCACCAUAAGCACUUCCUUCCAUAAGGUGCCUUCUUGGUCACAGUGCUUUGUCACAGCCACUGAAAGGUAGUUAAGAAGUCAGUAUGGCCAAUCCACCUAUACAUACAGACCUUUCCAGACCUCACUGAAACAUAUCUUAAUGUGUGCUGUUACAACAAAAUAUCACAGGCUGUGAUUUUAUAUAUAUACACACACACAUACAUACACACACAUACACACACACACAUUAAAAAACACAAACUUUACAAUUUAUGUGUAAGGGUAUUUUGACUGCAAGUAUAUCUGUAUACUACAUGUGUAUGGUGCCUGCAGAGGCUAGAAGAGAAUGUUCCAAUCUUCUGGAACUAGAGUUACUGCUGUAAACCAGUAUGUGGGUGCUAGGAAUAAACCUGAGUCCUAAGGAAAAGCAGCAAGUGCUCUACCACCUCACCAGCCCCUUAUUUCAGUUUUAAAAUCUAGGAUACUUGUCAAGCAGUGGUGGCUGAUGCCUUUAAUCUCAGCACUCAGGAGGCAGAGGCAGGCAGAUCUUUGUGAGUUCAAGGCCAGCCUGGUCUAUAGAGCAAGUUCCAGGACAGUCAAGAACACAGAAAAACCCUAUCUCAAAGGAAAAAAAAAAAAGAGCCAAAAAGAAAGUUGUGGACAUUUAUUUUGUGUAGUGAUAGUCUCUUGCUAUAUCCUCAUAUGGCAAAAGGCCAAAGGGCAAACAAGCUAAACUCAUUCCCUCUAACCUUUAAGUACUACCCCAUUUCUGAGGACAGAAUCCCCACGACAAGCACCCCCCAAAAAGCCUCAGUUACAUGAGUCUUUAAGGUGUACCAUCAUUCAAACUACAAGUAUAUUAAUAGUAAAUCAGUAGAGUAUUUUAAACAGGCAGUGGUGUUUUUGCUUUUUUGAGACAGGGCUUUUCUUCAUAGCCUUGGCUGUCCUGGAAUUCAUUGUGUAGACCAGGCUAACCUUGAACUCAAGAGACCCAACUGCUUCUACCGCCUGAGUGCUAAAAUAAAUGGUGUGCCCCACCAUGCUAGGCUCACUUUUUUUUUUUUAAUACUUGUUUGCAUGCAUUCCCAUGGUGUAAACAUGAAAAUCAGAGAACAACUGGUGAUAGUAAAUUCUCUCCUUGUACCACAUGGAUCCCAAAGAUCAAUUCAGGUCAUCACUCUUGGCAGCAAGUGCUCUAACCCCCUAAGCCUUGCAUCAGUCCAGAUUUCUACUUUGAAAGUACCACAGUAUUGCAACAAAAGCUCAGGAGGGAUAAUUGGUCAAAGGAAGAUGUGUGAAGAUGACAAAAGGAUCAUUGGGAAGCUAUAGCAAAUGUCUACUCAACAGUUAAUGCAAUGGAUAUAGAAUAGACAAACUUAAGAUGUAAAAGCCAGGUGUGGGUGGGGUAGAGAACUGGAAAGAAAUUAAGUGCAAUUAUUGCUCUUGCAGAGGACCCAGAUUCAGUCUAGCACCCACAUGAUGGCUCACAACUAUUCAUAACUCCAGUUCCAGGGGAUCUGGCACCUUUUCUGGCAUCACUGGGCAUCAAGCAGGCAUGUGGUAUGCAGACACAGAUGCAGGCAAAACAUGCAUACACAUAAAAAUACAAAAUGUUUUUUAAAAUGUAAUAGAAGCCAGGAUUUAAUAAAUGCUCUCCUGUAAUCCCAGCACUUGAAAUGUAACAGGAGGACAUCGUUUUCAAGAUCACCCUCAGCUACACAGCAAGUUCAAGAACAGCUCUGUCUGCAAAGGACAAAACAAAACAAAACAAAAAGUUAUCUUCUGAGUCAGAUGUGCACCUAUACACUAGAACUAGCUGUUUGGAUUACCCUGGAAACCCCUGGUAAUCACACUAAGACUGCCGCUCCUAAAGGAACCAGCUCAGCCAGGGCUGUCUGGAAUAGCUGGUACCAGGCUUUUGCUAUCACAUGCCCUGAGGGACUCUAGGUGCCCCUGCAACUACUGCCACCUUGGUCAGAGAGCUAGCGCUGUCCCCAGUAGAGGUACUACUCUGACUGAUGCUAAGUGGUGAGACUUACAGAGGGCCUAAAAUCCAAGCCCCAAAGACUAUAAUUAAUGCUAGGGGACAAGGCUGUGACUGGUCCAAAGAAAUGGUUGUGAUUGGCCCAAACACAAAAAUGGUUGCUCCUUUUUUUUCCUUUUAAGAUUAGUUACAUGGAGCUGGAGAGAUGGCUCAGUGGUUAAGAGCACUGACUGCUCUUCCAAAGGUCCUAAGUUCAAAUCCCAGCAACCACAUGGUGGCUUACAACCAUCUGUAACAAGAUCUGAUGCCCUCUUCUGGAGUGUCUGAAGAUAGCUACAAUGUACUUACAUAUAAUAAAUAAAUCUUUAAAAAAAAAAAAAGAUUAGUUAUAUGAUUUCCAGCUUGUCUUUUCUCCUUCCAACCCCUCACGUACAUUCACACCACACUCUCUUUCAAACUCAUGGCCUCUUUUUCUUUAAUUGUUUGAAUAUGUCUGUGUAUGUGUGUGUAUUCCUAAACACAUAAAAACAACCUGUUCAGUCCAAAUGAUGUUACUUGUAUGUAUGCUCUCAGGACUGACCUUUUGGUAUUUGAUAAGCAAUUAGGGGAGUGGGAAGGGACACUUCUCUAUUUGUCUAGAGACCUUGUAAGCUUUUCCCCUCUCAUAUUAGCAUGUCUACUGGUAUAGUCCUUUUUCAGGUCGUGUUCAUGCAACUAUGCUGAUGAGACCUCAUGAGUGUAGCUUCUGUCAUUUCUAGGAGACACUCCCACAUCAAAAGAUGCUCUGGCUCUUAACAAUCUUUUCUACUCACUCUUACGCAAUGAUCCCCGAGCCUUAGGUGCAGGAGCUGUGUUGUAGAUGUAAUGGUUAUAACUGGGCUCUACAACCCUUUAUUUUGUGGGUUAUCAUUUUCUGUAAUGGUUCCCCUCCAUUGCAAAAAGAAGUUAGAUGAUGAAAGGUGAGGCAUAAAGAUCAAUAUUUAAAAUGUGUCUAUGCAAAAUGCAGCUAUUUAGAAGAGGUAGAAAGAUCGUUCAAGCCAGAGGUGGCAGAUGACUCUAAGCCAUAAACACCAUUUUCCAGAGACAACAGGACAGUUAUCUUUAUGAACUCACAGCAACUGUGACAGCAGGCACAAAUCCUGCCCAAGUUCAAACCAGGCAGAAAAGCAGCACAGAGAAGGUCCCACUCUAGACCAAGAAGCUAUCUGCAAUUGAUACCUGCUGGGAAAAGAAAAUCAGCUUCCUACAAUGAGGUGCCACUGGGAGGUAUAACAUGCCCCAUGCGCAGGAGGAAAUGACCAACACAAAACCAAAAUGGACUCCUUUUUUUUUGGGGGGGGGGUGUUUUUUGCUUUUUGUUUUUUUUGGUUUUUUGAGACAGGGUUUCUCUGUGUAGCCCUGGCUGUUCUGGAACUCACUCUGUAGACCAGGCUGGCCUCGAACUCAGAAAUCCACCUGCCUCUGCCUCCCAAGUGCUAGGAUUAAAGGCGUGCGGACUCCAUUUUUAUGUGCACUCAUUUUGUUUUGUUUCUUUCUGCUUUUGAGGGUUGCUGCUUUCGGGAAGUUUGCUUGGGCUCUCAUGUACACAUUGGUCAGGAGUUAAGAAAAACCUGGGAGGAGUUGGAAGAAGGCAAAUAAUCAGAUCAAAGUAUUCUGUAUGAAAAAAAAAUUUUAAAUGUAGUUAAGGAUUAUGCUGGUUUAGAAGUGGCGGUUGAUUGUAGGUUCUCUUCCAAGAUCCAUGACUUCACUAGUUCUGGGUAGUUGGCUAGGUUUCCAGUACUAAACAUGCUUUCCCUCUUGUUGAGCAGGCCAGAAUUCCAACAGAUUGCUUUUUUAAAGUGACUCACUUAGUGAGUCAGCUGGGAGACAUUCUCCAGUGCUGCCUCUCCUCAUACUGGAGCAUUAUAGUCCAUUAAAAAAAAAAAAAACCCACAGGUGAGGUGUUUCACACUACAGUCCCAACACUCGGGAGAUAAAGGGAAGACAUUGCCACCCAUGAGUUUCAGGUCAGCCUGAGCUACACAGUGAGAUUGUCUCAAAAACAUAAUAAAUAAAACAAAAGGAAUUAUUUAAGCCACUUAAGAAGAAUUAAUGGGGAUGAAGGGAGGCUGAAAUAUAGUUCAGCAGAGAAACUGCUGGACAGUGAAAGCCUAAUAACCUGAAACCCAGAAUAAUCAUCAGACCACAGUAAAAGGAAUGGACAAACCGUCAAAGGCUGUGUGACUUCCAAAUGGGCACUGUGGCAUCUGCAUGAAUCCAUCUAUCCAUCUCUUUCUAUCUCUCCCUCCCAACACAAAUACACACACCCAAGAUGAACUAGUGGUAGUUUGGGGCAGGAAUAGGAACAAGUAGGAUAACACAGUUGUGAAGAAUCACACACAGCUGCAUAGCACAGAAUAUGGAAGAUAGGGGCAGUAAAGGAAUUCUAGGUCAAUCUCAACUACCUACCAGUUAGAAAUCAGCCUGGGCUACAAUAAAAGGGAAGAAAGGGAGAGAGGGAGGAAGGAAGGGAGGGAGGGAGGGAGGGAGAGGAGAGAGAGAGAGAGAGAGAGAGAGAGAGAGAGAGAGAGAGGAAGAAGGGAGAGAUAAAGUGGGGAAAAGAAGGAACUUAGUUUUACAGCUAAUUCUUCUGUCAUUUGUUUGAGCCAGAGUCUCAUUCUAGACUAGGCUAACUUGGAUCACUCUGUACCUCAACAGGCUGCCAUGAACUCCUAGUGAUCCUCCUACCACAGGAUUACAGGCAACAGUCAUCACACCAGGCCAUCACAUCACUUAGCGACAAAAACAUUACCUUUCUUAAGAUGUUCUAUUUGCUUUCAGAUUCUUGUUAUGAACAUGGAUACACUUGCAAUUAAUUCUAAAAUUUUUUAUAAGUGGAGAAAAAUCAACAGAGCCAAGGGUAAACUUAUUUGGGUCAACAGAGUAGUACCACUAAAAAGCAACCCCAAAGUCCACUAUAUACGUAUACUGUUAAAAUUAUCAAGUCAACUAUUUCUUUAUCAAAGUGCAUUGUUAUUUUCCCUAUUAUCCUUUCAAUGAUGUACUUUGAAAAGAAAAUCCUACUGACUGAGCAGAAAACCCCUCCCUAAAAUAGACAGACCCUCCAGCAAUAACCCAGCUAUACAGAAGUCUGAGAGAGAAGCCCAUCUUUGUUCCUUAGUGCUGAAUCCAUCUACCCAACUGCUCACUAUUCCUGCCCUCUGUGCUAUAGAUGCUGACCCUAAAUUCUUAAGUUUUCACACACAAUAGUUUUUAGGGAAGAGUGACAAUAAAAUCUGCGCAGCACAUUGGGUCAGCAGUAGGUUUAAUACAUGAUUGUCGAAUCACACAGAUAUGGAGAACCAGUCUUAAUUGAGUCUGUUUAUUGAGUUUCUAUUGUGCUGUAAUCUUUCUACUUUGUAUUUAAUCCUUAUAUGCUGGCUGUCAUAGGGAGUGCCCUCAUAUAAGUAAGAAAAUUUAGACACAGGAAAGUUAAAUAAAUUUUGCUUGGCUAUACAUUUAGUGAUUGGCAGAUUCCUUAGGUGUGACAGACUCCACAAGUGGGUAGAGUAGUUUGUAUAUCACACAGUUUUCAUGAGAAUCUAGACCUCAGACUAGUUCAGGAAUGUUCUUAGAGUAAGUAGACCUGUUGGACCAGUAUGGGAACCUGACAGCUCCAGCAACCAUUCUUUUGAAAAUACAUUCCAAGUUCUAAGCUGCAAACAGAAGAGCAGGUAGGUUUGUACUUUAGAGCUGGCUUUUCUCUGAGCUAAGCAGUUAAGUGUGCAGACUGCUCUUCCAAAGGACACAAAUUGGAUUCCCAGCCCCCAUAUCAGGAGGCUCAUAACCAACUGUAACUCCAGCUCCAGGGAGAUCUGAUGCCACUGGCUUGUGUAGGCACCUGCAUUCAUGUGCAUAUGCCCAGCAGAAGCACGCAUAUAUACAUAUGAUUUAAAACAAUAAAAAUAGGGCUGGCAAGAUGGCUCAGCGGUUAAGAGCACAGACUGCUCUUCCAGAGUUCCUGAGUUCAAUACCCAGCAACCACAUGGUGGCUCACAACCAUCUGUAAUGGGACCCUCUUCUGGUGUGGCUGUUUCUCCAGCCUCACCCCAUAACUUUAAAACUCCAUUCUUUUUAAGGAGCUGAAGAAGCUUUCAAUAAGAUCUGCAUUUAAUAACUCAGUUUAAGUACUAAACUCAGCAGGGCCCAAAGCCCAAGAACUAGCCAAAAUAACUUCUCAGCAAACAGGGCUGAAUUUUCCAAACAUAAGAAAACAACAAAAUAAUUAUCAUGGUAAAACACACAGCAAUCGUCUCACAGUAAGUAUGACAAUUUUUCUCCUCAGGCAUGGUGAUUCAUGUUUAAUCUCAGUAGAUGAGACAGAGAAGAGAGAUCUCUGUCACCCAGCCUAGUCUAUGUAAUAAGCUCCAGACCAGCCAAGAUGGCAUAAUAAGACCCUGUCCCCCAUCUCACCCCCCAUAAAAACCCUUUCCCACCUCAGCUGGGUAUGGCAGCUGCAUGGCACCUGGAAGCUGACAAGAGGAUAGAAAGUCAGCAGCCUGGUCUAGAAUGAGAUUGUGUCUGAAAACAAACGCAAACUUUACACACAAAGAAAAACAAAUAGCACAACUACUUAUCCUAAUCAGCACUAUUACCAAUUAAAGUGGGUUGCUUUAAAUUGUGUGUCUAUCCACUUUUUAAUUGUUUGUGGAUGUGUCCAUGCACUCCUGAGUGCAGGACCCCAUACAUCCAGAAUAGGGUGUUAGAUCCCCUGAAGCUGGAGUUAGAGGUAGUUGUAACCUGCCUCAUACAAGUGCUGGGAACCAAAGAUGCAACAAACCCAAGGUUUUUCAUACUAAAAUAAAUAAAAGAUGUACAUUUUUUAGUAUCUAUAAAAUACAAGAUCACCUUUCUAUUUCCACACUAUAUCCACAUUUCUGUAUGAUUUUGAAAUAGGUUUAAACUCACUCAUCGUACCUAUGUGUAUGCAUGUGUGUAUGUGUGUAUGUGUACUGAAUGUGUGUUUGGUGCCCACAGGUGUCAGAAGAGGACACGGACCCCCUAGGAUAAGGAUGGCUGUGAACCACUAUGAGGGCGCUGGGAACUGAACCCGAGUCCUCUGCAAAAGCACCAACUGCUCUUAACAGUGGUUAAGGCAGCCCUUCUGCUGCUUAAAAUGUGUUUUUAAACAGCCAUAUAGUUUUCAAAACCAAGUUAUACAGAAGACACAGGAAGCAUUCAACAAGUUUAUGAGUAGAUUACCAAAGUCAAAGGCUGGAAACGAGAGUAGGAAGACAAACUCCUUGGAGUACCACUCCAGAUAGAAUGUUACUAAUAUGGAAAAUGACAAAUACUCAGACAAGUCUCAAGACAGCAUCUCCUUCUGAAAACAAAAUCUACAGGAAUCUGCUAGAACAGAAAUUAGCCGCUCUUGAAAAUGAUAAUCACAUGAAAGGCACUUUAAGAAAUACUGCAGGUCCAAAGUACAAUAUUCCUUAUUUUUCAAAGACUGUUCUGGUUUUGCCUUAUCAACAAGAAAUGAAUUUCUAUUCUCAUUAUCUGAUACAAAGAAUUCCACUACUGUAUUUGCUUCUAGUGAAAACUGUUAAUUUUUACUCAACCAUAGGGA